rnacentral:rRNA from 1 species
CGGGGCGCAGCAGGCGCGAAACCUUUACAAUGCACGCAAGUGUGAUAAGGGAAUCCUAAGUGCUUAGGUUUUACCUAGGCUUUUGCCAAAUGUAAAUAGUUUGGAGAAUAAGUGGUGGGCAAGACUGGUGCCAGCCGCCGCGGUAGCACCAGCGUCCACGAGCGGCAACCAUCAUUAUUGGGCCUAAAGCGUCCGUAGCCGGUUUGGUAGAUUCUUUGUGAAAUUGUGAAGCUCAACUUUACAACGUGCAGAGGAGACCGCUAAACUUGGAACCGGGAGGGGUUAGAGGUAUUCGUGGGGGAGCGGUAAAAUGUUAUAAUCCCUUGAAGACCACCUGUGGGGAAGGCGUCUAACCAGAACGGAUUCGACGGUGAGGGACGAAAGCUAGGGGAGCAAUCCGGAUUAGAUACCCGAGUAGUCCUAGCAGUAAACUCUGCGAGCUAGGUGUUACACAUUCUUCGUGAAUGUGUAGUGUCCAAGCGAAGGUGUUAAGCUCGCCGCCUGGGAAGUAUGGUCGCAAGACUGAAACUUAAAGGAAUUGGCGGGGGAGCACUACAAGGGGUGCGGCGUGCGGUUUAAUCUAAUUCAACACAGAGAAUCUCACCAGAAGCGACGGCAGGAAGAAGGUCAGUUUAAAGGGCUUACCUGACGAGCCGAGAGGUAGUGCAUGGCCGCCGUCAGCUCGUGCCGUAAGGUGUCCUGUUAAGUCAGGCAACGAGCGAGACCCGCGCC